UACGGAGGGUGCAAGCGUUGUCCGGAUUUAUUGGGUUUAAAGGGUGCGUAGGCGGGGGAUUAAGUCAGAGGUGAAAGACUGCAGCUCAACUGUAGCAGUGCCUUUGAUACUGAUUUUCUUGAGUACAGAUGAGGCUGGCGGAAUGGGUGGUGUAGCGGUGAAAUGCAUAGAUACCAUCCAGAACACCGAUUGCGAAGGCAGCCGGCUAAACUGUCACUGACGCUGAGGCACGAAAGCGUGGGGAUCGAACAGG
rnacentral:rRNA from 1 species